rnacentral:rRNA from 1 species
AAAUUGAAGAGUUUGAUCAUGGCUCAGAUUGAACGCUGGCGGCAGGCCUAACACAUGCAAGUCGAACGGUAACAGGAAACAGCUUGCUGUUUCGCUGACGAGUGGCGGACGGGUGAGUAAUGUCUGGGAAACUGCCUGAUGGAGGGGGAUAACUACUGGAAACGGUAGCUAAUACCGCAUAAUGUCGCAAGACUAAAGAGGGGGACCUUCGGGCCUCUUGCCAUCGGAUGUGCCCAGAUGGGAUUAGCUAGUAGGUGGGGUAACGGCUCACCUAGGCGACGAUCCCUAGCUGGUCUGAGAGGAUGACCAGCCACACUGGAACUGAGACACGGUCCAGACUCCUACGGGAGGCAGCAGUGGGGAAUAUUGCACAAUGGGCGCAAGCCUGAUGCAGCCAUGCCGCGUGUAUGAAGAAGGC